AGGAUUAACGCUGGCGGCGUGCAUGAAACAUGCAAGUCGAGCGCGGUGUGAUGCGGGGUAACCCAAUUCACAUCUAGCGGCGAACGGGUGAGUAACACGUGAGCAACCUACCUUUGAGUUGGGGAUAGCCCUGGGAAACCAGGAUUAAUACCCGAUGUGGUCACAACAGGACAUCCUGAUGUGAGUAAAGGCGCAAGCCGCUCAAUGACGGGCUCGCGGCCUAUUAGCUUGUUGGUGGGGUAACGGCCUACCAAGGCGAUGAUGGGUAGCUGGUCUGAGAGGACGAUCAGCCACACUGGGACUGAGACACGGCCCAGACUCCUACGGGAGGCAGCAGUUAGGAAUUUUUCCGCAAUGGGCGAAAGCCUGACGGAGCAACGCCGCGUGAGUGAUGAAGACCUUAGGGUUGUAAAGCUCUGUCGGAGGGGAAGAACACAAUGACGGUACCCUCCAACGAAAGCCCCGGCUAACUACGUGCCAGCAGCCGCGGUAA
rnacentral:rRNA from 1 species